AAGGCAGGAGCCGGCGGUGCGGGGGGAACAGGGCAGGGGAGGCGGGUCUGGGAGGUCCCGGGCUCUGUUUGUAAAAGGAAAGUCCGGCAGAGCCAGGUGUGCUUCGCUCGGCGCUCCUGGUUCUAAAACCGCGUUGUGGAUCGGGAUGCGAGCGCUGCACUCCGGCCGUGCUCCGGGCAGGCUGUGUCUUCGAGGCGGGAUAUUUUUUUUCGCUCCCUUCUCUUUGGCAACACUCGUCAAGCUCGUGGUGCCGGUGAAGUCCCAUUGAUCGGAAUUGUAAUAAACAGUAUUGCCAUUUGCACCAUUAUUCCUGCAUGUAAUAAAACCUGACCUUUCCGCCAGAUCUGCGUGCGGAUAUAGGACCGCGAGCCCUGAGCAAGACCCGGGCAGCCCCAGUCCUGGGAUGUACCACGCAGCGAGGGCUGCGCUCAGUGAAAGCACCACGAGUCUGCAUGUUUUUGGACUUUAGGACCUUCAAAAGCAUUCGGUGUAACAAAUACAAGCACCAUUGCUGCGAUUUUUGUUUGAUAAAGUACAAUUGCCUCCAAAUUUUUUUAACCAUUUUUUUUCUUUCUUUUUUUUUUUUUUCCUUUUUUUUUUUUGAGGCAACAGCUUGUAAUUGGAGAUGUGAUAUAAUACUCACAACAGAACCCGAAGCCAGUGGAAACGCACGGAUUUUAUUGCAAACUGGAAAUUCAACCCAGGGUCAGCAAAGAGAAUUUCUGUGUCUACCAGUGGGAGUCUCCUGGGAUUUCAGCCUCUUCCAUUGCUUACAUUCCUAUUAAAAAACAGCAAAGAGGAUUUUGAUUACUAUUCUUUCCUUGACUGGAGAGUUCAGGCUUGAGAGGUUCAUCCAAGGUGCACACUUGACCCCACUUUUCUUCCAGGUACAUCUCUGUUGAAAUGUUACGCACUGCAAUUCAUUCUUUGCAUCCUUCUAAUGUGCUUUACACCCUGACAAAUACUUUAACUUACAUAUCAGGCUAGAGAUUAUUUUUAUCUUCUGCAACAUGAAUGGGUUUAUUUUUUUCCAUCUUUUAUGUUUUUAGAGCUCUAAAUGUUUCACUAUCGUUUGCAUUUUCAAUUAAGAGCAAAGCAUGCUUGUAUUAUCUCUUGCAUGACUUUUAAAAAUGAUCCAAGCUAACACUGUAUGUGCCAAAUGUAGCAGCAGAAAGAUGAUGCAGGCACCCCACAGAAAUGCCUCUCUCUUCAACUCAAAGCUGAUUUGGAAAUUAAGGAAGGCAGAGACUUUAUCUUGACAAUUAUGAUCUCAAUAAUUUAAGUGCCUAAUAAUGAGUAAAUUUAUUUCAGAAACUCUGCUAUAUGCCUGUAUCUUCUUUGCAUUUCCUGUUAAAAAUUUUCAUUAUACUUUUUGGGUGUUGCUAAGAUCAUCACAUAAUUUUCAACACAGACCAUCACUGAGUUUGGUGAACUGACAAAUGUGUACCAUAAUGUACCAUCUCACAGAAAAAACACCAUAAAUUAUCAAUAAUAAUCUUAAAAUUAUUAAGGUUGGAAAAGGUUACUGAGAUCGUCCCAUCCAACCAUUGACCCAUGUCCAUCAUGCCCAUCAACCAUGUCCCUCAGUGCCACACCCACACAUUUCUGAAAGACCUUCACCAGUUCCCUAGGCAGCCUGUUCCAAUCUAGCAUGGUAUUUUCCUGUGGUAUUUUCAUGGUAUGUAAAAUAUGUUAUAUUAAAAUACAUAUCCCUAACUAGCAAAAUUAUUUCUUCCUUCCACUUUCUAUUCAGGAACACUUAACUGUUCUUCUGAAGUGAGAGGUGACACUGGGACAUUUAAAUAAAAUUUUCUACCCAAAUGAUCAGAUAGCCAAGGACACUCAUUAUCCUGCUGCUCCCACCCAACUGUCCAGCCUUCUGUAUUUUGUCUUCCUUUGUGAAAACCUGCCUCCUUAUUAGAUGAGCCCUAACAAGAACCAAGGCCUCCUGAAAAUCUGUCUCUUCAAGGUUGGAGGUCUUUGGGGAAACUGAGCAUUGUAUUGAUCCAGACUUCCACAGUGUUAUCCACUAAUACCCACAUUGUGGUCUUUGUUUCAUUCCCACUUCUGAAAAAAUUAUCUUAGUAAGAUGCACUUCAGAUUUCAAUGAAAUAUAUUAUUUUAUUGCCUGGUACUCGCAAAGGCUUUUUUAGAGCAUACUAAUUCCAGCAGCCAAUACUCUUGUCAUAACAAAACACCACUAGAGAGAAGGAAACAAUGCUGAUUGUCUUACUGAUGCCUUUGAAGAGCCUCCUGACACAAAGCUGCUUUUGGGAUGUGAAGUGGGGUAUGUGGAGGGCCUAAAAAGGCCAGGGAGUCAUUGCUGUGUAUUAUGUACACACAGAUGGAAAAAAAUAAUUGCUUAUACAUGGAGGACUCCAUGUUCACCUGCCUACCUGCAAUUAACCUGUGUUAAAAGGGCAUGCAACAGAAACUGUCCUUUGACUCUUGGUAGCCAGAAACUCUUGCAUACAUUCUCCAACCCCCCAUCUUCAGAUUUAGUGACAAGAUCUUGCAAUUACAGGGAGCUGUGUGGCAUUUCCCAUCCAAAGCCUCCUGUUCUCACUUGACCACCUUUCUCAGCAAUGCUCUCCUUCUGGGUUAGAAUUUUUCAUUCUUUACUCAAAGACUGGAUAUCAUUUUCUUCUGCUUGUCAUUUCUGCAGUUUUGAUAAAAUGGCCUGUGAGGUUUUUUUUUAAAGAGCACAUUCCCUAUUAUUGACCAAAUGCUUUCUUAUUUUUUCUUUGAGCAGACAAAAUAGUUGACAACUGAAAUAUAGCAUGGGAAUAGCUUUCAAGAAGGAGUGAGGCAUGGCCCUGUUCAGAAAUAAACUGUUUCACUGAAUUCUAUCCCCUCAAAAUUACACUGUAAGUGCAUUUCUUCUUAUCAAGGCACAGCCCAGAAAGAAACUGGUCUCUGAGUUUGUCAAAACAUCAAUGGUGCUGUUCUAUCAGAGGCUGUGUUGCAGUAGAGUCCUGUUCUGGAAGACACUAGUGAGUUAAUGCAAGGGCCAUUGAGAGCUGGUCAUUGGAAACAUAACGGGUGAAGCACAGUACAUCCAUCAGUGGUUACAAAUGCAUGAAAAUCCUUAAAACUGCUUGCUUUCAAACAAACUCUCACCGCAUGUUUCCUGUGGAUAUGGAUUUAGGCAAAUACAAUCUUUCCACAUUACUUAGAGGCCUUUUAGUAGGCUUCUACCCCCAUGCCUUUUGUCACAGUUCCAUGCUGGUAUUCCUCUUCGGAAUCAUAGGAGGAAACUUCAUUUUGUGCUGUCGGAGAAGAUGUCAACAAUACUGUGGAAGCUUCUGAGGACUUGCAGAGGUACAUUACAUUUCUGUACUGAUUAGUCAAUUAUUUUGACACACCUGUACCUUCUACUUGCAAUCAUUUCAAAACAUGUAGAGCUUUGAAGCCCACAGUCCUAAAACUGAGUUUGAACUCAGUUGAAGGCAGUCAUUCAGCCUUUGGAAGAGCUCCAAAAAGGCACUUCUACCCUUCUUGGUAGAACUUGGUAGAAAAAUAGAUGGAUAGCCUUAAGGCAUGUGUUGCCACUGAAAUACAAAAGGCAAAGAGAUCCAACAGUAGAGAACUGUUGAGUUGUAUGAGGUCUUGGAGGUGUUAAUCUGAUGUAUGAGAAUCAGAAGCUGAUAGAAAAACAAAUGGAAGGGAUAAUGUAGAGAUGGACCAUCUAGAAAGAUCAUUUUAGCUGCAUCUUCUUAGGCUAAAUGGUUGUGUUCAGUAGUAUAAAUCACAGCCUAUUGCUUCUGUUCCUUUAUUAGGUAAAUCUGCAUAUAUUUGUGGCUUAACUGUGUAAAAAUUCACAUUUAAUAUUCAGGGAGUAGCACACAUAAAAAGUUAAUGGAUGAAAGAAACAAAACGAAGGCAAAAUAAAUGUGAUCCAAAAUUAUGUUACACUCUUCAUCCAACUUUUAUCUGGUCUUAGCGUACUGUGAUUGGCACAAGCAACACUGCAACAUUUUGUACUUUUAUACAAAAGGAGAAAUGUAGACCUGAGUAAUUUCCUCUUGAGAACCUUAAAAGAGCUUACAGUUAGUGAAUGUUGUCAAGUAGUAGGCCUGGAAACACAUAAAUCUCUUUCAUUGGUUCUUUUUUACAAGGUUUAAGUAUUUCAAAGGUCACAAAGGAGACACCUCAAACAAAACAGACAUCAGAAAUGCAUUUGUAAUUGUCAAACUCUGGCCCCAUUACCAACAAAAAAUUUGAAAACUUCAUUCAAAUGCUGUGAUUCAUCUAGGGAGAAUAAUGAUGGGCAAGAUGGCCAUAGCCUCAAGACCUUUCACAAUGCCGUUACAUCCAGCUGUGCUACAUUCAACAAUCAGUUUAUGAAGGGGCCUUGGAGGCAAAUUAAUUAUUUAACUGUAAAAUAUAUUGAGAAUUCAGUCAUCCUUCCCCUCAUGGAACUAGCAUUCUUGAGAUUACCAUUACAUUCUCAGUACCAGACAUUGCUGAACUCUUAUCUGAAGGAAGGCCUGUUUGAGAAAAUCUUGAAAUUGAACAAAUAAAGCUUAUAUAUCAGAAAUUACUUUUAAGAAACACGGUGUGCUUAGCACGUCUCCUGGGACUGUCAAUGACUUUGGCUUACCCAGGCAUAAAUGUCCAAUAUAGAUUACUUUAAAACCUGUUACUGAAAUGAAAAAAAAAAAAAAAGGCUAGACUUCGCUCAGAGGAGAGCAAUUACUCUCCCUGUAAUAAUUGUUGGUGUUACAGUGGUGUAUUCAAAACUCUUGUAUAAGGUCCAAAUUCUUACACAUUUCCACCUCUUCAUGUUAAUUGGAAAUUGAUACAUAUGAGGGUAGCUGAGGAGUCUGCCUGAAUACAAAAUGAUCUAAAGAAAGCAACCUUGAACAUAAACAAGCAGGAGUAAGUGACAAUUAAAAAAAAAAAAAAAAAAAAAAAAGUGUUCCUCUGGCACAUUUUUCCAUUAAAAAGGAAUAUAUUCCAAUUCCUGCUGUUAACCAAGAGAUGGCUAUGAUUUGAAUAAGAAAAGAGCUCAGGAAGCCCGAUAUAUGAUUCAAAUCUACCUUUUACUCAUUUUAAUGAUAACCAGGAAUGAAAAUUGGGAUCUUCAAUCAGUCCAUACUCAAGAGAACAAGAAUAUGAUUAAAGUCAUUUCAAGCCCAACACUAUGCUCACAUUUAUUUUGCAACCUCACUGACUACUGGCUAAAAACAAAACUACAGCCCAAGUACAUUUGCUUCAUAGCUAUAGAUGUAAUACCAACUAGUGACAGCUCACCUGAAAAAGAAAGGUCACACCUGGCAUCAGUUUUCAGGCAUUACCUGCAGCAAGGGAAGGAAAGUUGCUAAACAAAAUACCACCCUCUAUUUUUCAGUCUACUGUGUAAUUUGUCUGCUGGGACUGGGAUAUAUGGCCUCUCAAAAAGCAGUGGACUAGAUAGAUACACUGAAUUAUUUCUUCACCUCAAUAAAACCAAGCAAUUUUUAAUGCUCUGAAGAUACUUCCACAGAAACAAUUGCUAAAAAUUCAUGGGUGCCAUUUUAUCUACAGUUUUAGGCAGAUUUUAUCCUCGAGGGAAAUUAAUCAACUCACAUUAAUAUACACUCAGCAGACUCACAAGUCAUAACUGAUGUAUUGUACAGUGAUUGCUCAUGUCUUUACACAAAAGCUUUCUCUUUUAGAACAUCGUUUCAUAAGUCUCCACUAGACUUCUCUUCCAAAGAUGAAAGACUCAU